CGCUAGAGAUAGCUUAGUGCCUUCGGGAACUCUGAGACAGGUGCUGCAUGGCUGUCGUCAGCUCGUGUUGUGAAAUGUUGGGUUAAGUCCCGCAACGAGCGCAACCCUUAUCCUUGUUUGCCAGCACGUAAUGGUGGGAACUCCAGGGAGACUGCCGGUGAUAAACCGGAGGAAGGUGGGGACGACGUCAAGUCAUCAUGGCCCUUACGAGUAGGGCUACACACGUGCUACAAUGGCGUAUACAGAGGGCUGCAAACUAGCGAUAGUAAGCGAAUCCCACAAAGUACGUCGUAGUCCGGAUUGGAGUCUGCAACUCGACUCCAUGAAGUCGGAAUCGCUAGUAAUCGUGAAUCAGAAUGUCACGGUGAAUACGUUCCCGGGCCUUGUACACACCGCCCGUCACACCAUGGGAGUGGGCUGCACCAGAAGUAGAUAGCUUAACCUUCGGGAGGGCGUUUACCACGGUGUGGUUCAUGACUGGGGUGAAGUCGUAACAAGGUAGCCCUAGGGGAACCUGGGGCUGGAUCACCUCCUUAC
rnacentral:rRNA from 1 species